rnacentral:misc_RNA from 1 species
GAUGUAGGAAGAACACAGUUGAUAGCUUUCUUGGAACUCUUUUGGAUAUUCCUGGGAAAACAAAAGAUCAUGCAAAAGCCCGAUAUGAUUUGAAAGAGAUGGGAAUUAGAAAGAAUCUUCAUCCAAAAGAUAAUGGAGAUAACAAGAGAACAAAGUUUGCAAAAGCUUGCUUCUCAAUGAAAAAUGGAGAGAAAUCAAUAUUUGUGGAGUUUUAAAGACAGUCAAGCUACCUGAUGGCAGUGCCUCCAAUAUAUCUAGGUGUGUGCAACUGGAUGAAAGGAAA